rnacentral:rRNA from 1 species
UACGUAGGCAGCAAGCGUUGUUCGGAGUUACUGGGCGUAAAGGGUGCGUAGGCGGCUUCUUAAGUCUGGUGUGAAAUCUCCCGGCUCAACUGGGAGGGUGCGCCGGAUACUGAGGGGCUAGAGUGUGGGAGAGGAAAGUGGAAUUCCUGGUGUAGCGGUGAAAUGCGUAGAUAUCAGGAGGAACACCGGUGGUGUAAACGGCUUUCUGGACCAUAACUGACACUGAGGCACGAAAGCGUGGGUAGCAAACAGG